UACGUAGGUGACAAGCGUUGUCCGGAUUUACUGGGCGUAAAGAGCGCGCAGGCGGUCGAUCAAGUCGAGUGUGAAAGCCCCCGGCUCAACUGGGGAGGGUCAUUCGAUACUGAUCGACUCGAAGGCAGGAGAGGGUAGCGGAAUUCACGGUGUAGCAGUGAAAUGCGUAGAUAUCGUGAGGAACACCAGAGGCGAAGGCGGCUACCUGGACAAUUGCUGACACUCAGGCACGAAGGCGUGGGGAGCAAAAGGG
rnacentral:rRNA from 1 species